rnacentral:rRNA from 1 species
GACGUAGGGGGCCAGCGUUGUUCGGAAUUACUGGGUGUAAAGGGUUCGUAGGCGGUUUGGCAAGUCGGGAGUGAAAUCUCUGGGCUCAACCCAGAGUCUGCUUCCGAAACUGCUGUGCUUGAGUGUGGGAGAGGCGCGUGGAAUUGCAGGUGUAGCGGUGAAAUGCGUAGAUAUCUGCAGGAACACCCGUGGCGAAAGCGGCGCGCUGGACCACUACUGACGCUGAGGAACGAAAGCUAGGGGAGCAAACAGG